GACGAACGCUGGCGGCGUGCUUAACACAUGCAAGUCGAACGGAAAGGCCCUGCUUUUGUGGGGUGCUCGAGUGGCGAACGGGUGAGUAACACGUGAGUAACCUGCCCUUGACUUUGGGAUAACUUCAGGAAACUGGGGCUAAUACCGGAUAGGAGCUCCUGCUGCAUGGUGGGGGUUGGAAAGUUUCGGCGGUUGGGGCUGGACUCGCGGCUUAUAAGCUUGUUGGUGGGGUAGUGGCUUACCAAGGCUUUGACGGGUAGCCGGCCUGAGAGGGUGACCGGCCACAUUGGGACUGGGAUGCGGCCCAGACUCCUACGGGAGGCAGCAGUGGGGAAUAUUGCACAAUGGGCGGAAGCCUGAUGCAGCAACGCCGCGUGCGGGAUGACGGCCUUCGGGUUGUAAACCGCUUUCGCCUGUGACGAAGCGUGAGUGACGGUAAUGGGUAAAGAAGCACCGGCUAACUACGU
rnacentral:rRNA from 1 species